UUUUUCUUUGACUUUGUCUCUGACUGGGUGAACACUCACUCUCUCCCUGGAGGUUUGAAGCUGGCUGAGAGACCUUUGUGAGGCUGACUUGACUUUUGGGACUUGGUCUCUGUCUCUCUGUCUCUGAGCAAUGGAAGCUGAUCAGGGAGAAGCUUUGAGUUGGUGGUCUAUAAGAGAGUUGAGCUGGCCAGGAGAAAAGGAGAGACUUUGAACUUUGUUUCUUUCUGGGGUUAAGCUGAGAGACCUUACUGAUUUUUUUGUGAAGAAGAAGAAAAAAGAUUUUGAGAUGCUGUCCUCCAUCUUUAUAACAGUCUAAGAGUCACACUUGUGACUCCCCAAACCAUCAAUUUUAUUUCAUUUAGAUUAGGGAAAUUCCUCAUCCCUCUUACCUCAGUUUCCCAUCCUAUUAUCCCAAUAAACCCCUUGACUGAGAAAGCAACUAGAGUAUCAUUAUAGUUCAACUCAGGAUGGAGGGAAGGAGCCAGAGGCUUCAAGGAAGAUUGGGGAGGUGAGGGAGGCAAGGGAGGGAGUGAGGGAGGAAGGAGGUUAGGAAAUAGGUUAAUCCAUCCAUCCAUCCAUCCAUCAUCAAUAGGGAUCAAUAGGCAAACCCCAGAGCAAAUCCCAGAGCAGUCCCUUAUAAUAUAAGUCCCUUAUAUAUAAAUAGUCCCCUAUAUACCAGCAUCCCUGUGUGUGGCAUCCUUCCAUUACAAAUAAGCAGCUUCAGGUCCCUGUAGCAGCCUCUCAAGUCAAAGCCAGAGAACAACAGUCAUUGUGAAGAAGCCAGUUCCCCUCAGUUUCCCUUCUCCAUUUCAACAAGUAACAGUUUACACUCAGUUUACUCUUUAUUUCAAGAUCCAAGGUUCAAGGUUCCUACAUUUAAGAGCUAUGCUGGUGGUCUGGAGUACCCGGUGGACUUUCCUCAAGGUCAAGGAUAACUGAAACCUUUGAAAAUGAAACAGCAGAGAAGAAGAACUUACUCUAUUGUAUUUUAGAGGGGGGAAAAUCAGUGCAACUGAUCAAUAUGUUGAAAAAGUCCAAAAUCAUAUGCACAAUAUAUAUGUAACACCUCAUCUUUAAAAUUUGAAUUCUGCUUGAUUUUUAUAAUUUUGUUAC
rnacentral:lncRNA from 1 species